rnacentral:rRNA from 1 species
UACGUAGGUGACAAGCGUUGUCCGGAUUUACUGGGCGUAAAGAGCGCGCAGGCGGUCGAUCAAGUCGAGUGUGAAAGCCCCCGGCUCAACUGGGGAGGGUCAUUCGAUACUGAUCGACUCGAAGGCAGGAGAGGGUAGUGGAAUUCCCGGUGUAGUGGUGAAAUGCGUAGAUAUGCGGAGGAACACCGAUGGCGAAGGCAAUCCCCUGGGCCUGCACUGACGCUCAUGCACGAAAGCGUGGGGAGCAAACGGG